CCCUUAGACGUUCUGGGCCGCACGCGCGCUACACUGACGAAGGCAACGAGCUUUCCUUUACCGAAAGGUACGGGUAAUCUUUUGAAACUUCGUCGUGCUGGGGAUAGAUCCUUGCAAUUUUUCAUCUUCAACGAGGAAUGCCUAGUAAACGCAAGUCAUCAGCUUGCAUUGAUUACGUCCCUGCCCUUUGUACACACUGCCCGUCGCUCCUACCGAUUGAAUGAUCCGAUGAAUAUCAUGGAUUGAGGAUGCAAGUAGGUUAGCCUAUCUUCAUCUUCGAGAAGUGAAGUAAAUCUUAUCAUUUAGAGGAAGGAGAAGUCGUAACA
rnacentral:rRNA from 1 species